rnacentral:lncRNA from 1 species
CGAGGAUUCACCGUGUUAGCCAAGAUGGUCUCCAUCUCCUGACCUCGCUCGUGAUCCGCCUGCCUCGGCCUCCCAAAGUGCUGGGAGUACAGGCGUGAGCCACCGCGCUCGGCCGAGGAAAAUGCCACAGUUUUGUGUCAUGGGAGUGGCCCCCAUCCCUGGAUGUAUGUGACCUGAGUUUGAGAAGCAUGGACAUACAUUUGCUCACAUACUAAUAGCAGAAAAUAAGUACAGAAAAGAAGAUUAAUAUCAGAUUGUGGUUGGCCUUGAGUCAGAGGCUGUAAAACUUGAAGAAAGGAGCCAAGAUCGCCAGAAAUACAGUGGUGGUAUUAUAGCAAACAUGAGAUCCUAAGUCCUUUUUCAAAGCGUGCCUGCUCCCUGCAAGAGGAGGAACAGUGGCCAACCCACUCAAUCAGCUGUUGCCAUGUGGGACCUGUGAAACCUAGCUACCAUGCAAAAAGUCUGACUGACUCGAGAUUACCAUAUUGUGAGGAAGUCCAAGCUAACCACAGGGAGGGGAACUGAGAAACCUAAACAACAGUGAAAACUGAAGUCCGAGAUAGAUGGCCCAAGCUGAGCCAUCAUGGGUGACACUACCAGGGGCCAAGACAGGUUCUCUCUAACAAGCCUGUCCAAGUCACAAAGCGAGGCCACCUUGGUAGGAGAAAGUAAGAAGAUAUGACCAGUUAUCUCCUCCAUCAGACAAAGGCACUAUUGAUUGUUCAGGAAAUUAAGUGGCCCCCUUUGCACCACAGUGCAAAAAAUGUACUCUUCUUUGGUGAAUCUUUAUUAUGUUGAUUGUUAAAGUGAUAUCUGUACAUAUUAAAUGUGUUAUGGCCUUAAGUGUUACAAUCCUUGCUCUGUGUAUAUUUACAUUUAUAUGUGUAUCAAUAUUCUCAAGCAGGAACACAGCACUGCCCUUCCAGCUCCCUCCCCCAGCUAGAGGACAUCUGGCAAUUUGACAUUUUGGUUGUCACAAUCUAGGGGACAGGGCUACUACUAGCAUCUACAGGGUAGAGCCAGUGGUACUGCUAAAUAUCUUAUAAUCCAUAGUACUGCUCCUGCAAUGAAGAAUUAUCUGGCUUAUGAUGUCAAUAAAAAUAAUAAUUUUCAUCAGAAAAGAGUUGUAUCAUUUUCAAAACACUUUCACAUGCAUUAUUUUAUUGAUGCUCAUAAAGUCAUUGUGAGGUAAUAAGCUUUCUAAUUUAUGGAUGAGGAAAUUGAGGUUUAAAAGGGAAAAGUGACUUUACCAAUGUCAUAUUACUAGAAAAGUGAAGGUGUUAGAGCACGAAAAUUAAUCUUCAGCCCUCUCUUACUUUCCAUACUUUUUCCUGGCAAUGUCCUGUGGGCAAAGAUAAAUGUGCCAGUCUCCUUCACUUCAAGCCCAGCAUGGUACUUUCCACUUGCUAGAGCUUCAAAAAUGUGUUUGUUGAUUGACUAAUUAUAAAUGACAUCAAGGACAGUCAACUGUAUUAUUCCCCCCUAGUUUUUAAAUAAGAAAUGUCAACUGAUAUGGUUUGACUCUGUCCCCACUCAGAUCUCAUCUUGAGUUGUAGCUCCCACAAUUCCCACAUGUGGCUGGUGAUAGCUGGUGGGAGGUAAUUGAAUCAUGGGGGCAGGCCUUUCCCAUGCUGCUCUCGUGAUAGCGAAUAAGUCCAUGAGCUCUGAUGGUUUUAUCAAGGGGAAACCCCUUUCACUUGGCUCCUACUCUCUCUUGUCUGCCACCACGUAAGACAUGCCUUUGCUUCCCCUUUGCCUUCAGCCAUGAUUGUGAGGCCUGCCCAGCCAUGUGAAACUGUGAGUCAAUUUAACCUCUUCCAUUUAGAAAUUACGCAGUCUCAGGUAAGUCUUUAGUAGCAAUGUGAGAACAGACUAAUAUAACAACUCAGAUCCCUAGGAAAGAUUUCUGUGUAAUUCAACAUACAUUUCCUGUUUUACAUGAAUAGAUGGCUGUAGCAUGUCUGGUUGUUUUUUUUUUUGUUUGUUUGUUGUUUUGUUUUUUUUUUUUUUAAUUUUGCUCUGGUGUAAAUCUUAGAGUAGUUCAAAAUGUAAAACCCCAAAACUUUUAGCUAGCAACAGGAUGUAGCCAUUCCGUGGCUUCCUUUUAACUGAAUAUGCACAGGCAGAGGAGCCAAGAGAAGGAACCAGCUUUUCUGAGUGACAGCAUAUUUCAAAGACAGGUAAAGGACAAACUGGAACAGAACUGGGGGUAAUACAUUGAAAACAAAACAAAACACAACAAGAAACAGUAACACGCAUGGAUCUCUGCCCAGAUUCCCACCCAAAAACUAAUUUAUUAAGCUGAUAUAAUAACACUGUGCAACAAUAGCCAGGCUAGCUUAGCUUUAUAUUUAGCUCAAGAAGCAAUUAAAGACAAAAAGAAAAAGAACACUCAUACUGUACAUGAUGAACAAAUCACAAGAUGUUCAACACAUUUGUUUAGCAGACAGUA